rnacentral:rRNA from 1 species
GGGGGAUAUUGCGCAAUGGGGGAAACCCUGACGCAGCAACGCCGCGUGAAGGAAGAAGGCCUUCGGGUUGUAAACUUUUGUCUUUGGGGACGAUAAUGACGGUACCCGAGGAGGAAGCCACGGCUAACUACGUGCCAGCAGCCGCGGUAAUACGUAGGUGGCGAGCGUUGUCCGGAUUUACUGGGUGUAAAGGGCGUGUAGGCGGGAUAGCAAGUCAGAUGUGAAAUACCAAGGCUUAACUUUGGGGGUGCAUUUGAAACUGUUAUUCUUGAGUGUCGGAGAGGGAAGCGGAAUUCCUAGUGUAGCGGUGAAAUGCGUAGAUAUUAGGAGGAACACCAGUGGCGAAGGCGGCUUUCUGGACGAUAACUGACGCUGAGGCGCGAAAGCGUGGGGAGCGAAC